GGACCGGAGUGGACGCAUCACUGGUGUUCCAGUUGUCUCGCCAGAGGCAUUGCUGGGUAGCUAAAUGCGGAAGAGAUAAGUGCUGAAAGCAUCUAAGCACGAAACUUGCCAAGAGAUGAGUCAUCCCUGACUUUAAGUCAGUAAGGGUUGUUGUAGACUACGACGUAGAUAGGUCAGGUGUGUAAGUGUAGUGAUACAUUGAGCUAACAGAUACUAAUUGCCCGAGAGGCUUAACUAUACAACGCUCAAG
rnacentral:rRNA from 1 species